UUUUAUCAAAGUGAGUAACUUGUUACUCACUCAUGAAAGAAAACGACCUUACUCACUUUUGAGUAAACACUAACAUAUUUGACUCACUUUGGAAUUGUCAAAUACUUGUGAAAAUUUCGGCUUCCAAGUUUAGAAGUAAAUAUCGUUGUAAGAAUAUGUAUUAUACUAAUAAAACAGUGCUUAACAUCUGUAGAAUUAUCUAUAACGAAUCAUGCAAGUUGUGCAAUAGAUGAUUAAUUGUUACUGUUAUAAUUAAUCCCGAUAUCAAGUGAAGCGAGAUCGGAGUUUUUGAAGGUAACCAAGUCCUGGUUUUGAUCGAACAACCGCAAGAAAAAAGUUUAUAUACAUCUUUCCGGAAAUGCUACUGGCUCGAGCAAACAUCCGGAUCAAAAUCCAGUGAGAAAAUUUCACCGGAUGAUCAUUGAGAGGAAGAAUGCGCAGCGAAAUCGUUCAUUUUUGGUAAACACGGCCCGCAGUUUACUGCGAACACUUAGGUUAUCUUCCCGCUGGAAGUUGCCGCGUGACAUCAUUGUAAAUAGAUCCCCCAGAGAUUUAUAUCCUUCGGAGAUCCGUUCCAGAGAAGCGAAAGUUUAGACAUAAUAUCACAAUUUUAUUACUUAUCAUGUACUUUUAUUUAUGUAUGAGAUAAUGAAAUAAAUGUUAUUCCUUUCGAA
rnacentral:lncRNA from 1 species